UACGGAGGGUGCAAGCGUUAUCCGGAUUUACUGGGUUUAAAGGGUGCGCAGGCGGAUAUGUAAGUCAGUGGUGAAAUCUCUAGGCUUAACCUGGAAAUUGCCGUUGAUACUAUAUAUCUUGAAUGCUGUGGAGGUAAGCGGAAUAUGUCAUGUAGCGGUGAAAUGCUUAGAUAUGACAUAGAACACCUAUUGCGAAGGCAGCUUACUACGCAGAUAUUGACGCUCAUGCACGAAAGCGUGGGGA
rnacentral:rRNA from 1 species